AUUGAACGCUGGCGGCAUGCCUUACACAUGCAAGUCGAACGGCAGCGGGGACUUCGGUCCGCCGGCGAGUGGCGAACGGGUGAGUAAUGUAUCGGAACGUACCUUUCAGUGGGGGAUAACGUAGCGAAAGUUACGCUAAUACCGCAUAUUCUCUGAGGAGGAAAGCAGGGGACCUUCGGGCCUUGUGCUGAUGGAGCGGCCGAUAUCAGAUUAGCUAGUUGGUGAGGUAAAGGCUCACCAAGGCGACGAUCUGUAGCGGGUCUGAGAGGAUGAGCCGCCACACUGGGACUGAGACACGGCCCAGACUCCGACGGGAGGCAGCAGUGGGGAAUUUUGGACAAUGGGCGCAAGCCUGAUCCAGCCAUGCCGCGUGAGUGAAGAAGGCCUUCGGGUUGUAAAGCUCUUUCGGACGGGAAGAAAUUGGUGGGGCUAAUAUCCCCAUCGGAUGACGGUACCGUAAUAAGAAGCACCGGCUAACUACGUGCCAGCCGCCGCCGUAACAC
rnacentral:rRNA from 1 species